rnacentral:piRNA from 1 species
UGCAGUUUCCUCCUUGGAUGGAUACUAACCA